rnacentral:rRNA from 1 species
CCUACGGGAGGCAGCAGUGGGGAAUCUUGCGCAAUGGGCGAAAGCCUGACGCAGCCAUGCCGCGUGAAUGAUGAAGGUCUUAGGAUUGUAAAAUUCUUUCACCGAGGACGAUAAUGACGGUACUCGGAGAAGAAGCCCCGGCUAACUUCGUGCCAGCAGCCGCGGUAAUACGAAGGGGGCUAGCGUUGCUCGGAAUUACUGGGCGUAAAGGGAGCGUAGGCGGAUAGUUUAGUCAGAGGUGAAAGCCCAGGGCUCAACCUUGGAAUUGCCUUUGAUACUGGCUAUCUUGAGUACGGAAGAGGUAUGUGGAACUCCGAGUGUAGAGGUGAAAUUCGUAGAUAUUCGGAAGAACACCAGUGGCGAAGGCGACAUACUGGUCCGUUACUGACGCUGAGGCUCGAAAGCGUGGGGAGCAAACAGGAUUAGAUACCCUGGUAGUCCACGCUGUAAACGAUGAGUGCUAGUUGUCGGCAUGCAUGCAUGUCGGUGACGCGAGCUACGACAUUAAGACACCUCCGCCGUCGGGGUAGGUACGGUCGGCGAAGAAGUUAAACUAACAAUAGUAAGUUAGUACGGCGUGAGACGUGACCGACGGACGACGACGAGGGAGGUUAGGG